rnacentral:rRNA from 1 species
AUUGAACGCUGGCGGCAGGCCUAACACAUGCAAGUCGAACGAGUGGCGGACGGGUGAGUAAUGUCUGGGAAACCGCCUGAUGGAGGGGGAUAACUACUGGAAACGGUCGCUAAUACCGCAUACCCUAAGAUGUGCCCAGAUGGGAUGGGCUUGGUGGUGGGGUAACGGCUCACCAAGGCGACGAUCCCGAGCUGGUCUGAGAGGAUGACCAGCCACACGGGAACUGAGACACGGGCCAGACUCCUACGGGAGGCAGCAGUGGGGAAGAUUGCACAAUGGGCGCAAGCCGGAUGCAGCCAGGCGGCGUGUAUGAAGAAGGCCUUCGGGUUGUAAAGUACUUUCAGCGGGGAGGCGUUACCCGCAGAAGAAGCACCGGCUAACUCCGUGCCAGCAGCCGCGGUAAUAC